UGGCCAACUCCCCAGGGAGCGGCAGACGCACCGCUGUCUGGACUUCCAGGGAGUCAGCGUGGUUUGGCCGGAGCGCUGGGCCAGCCGCGCGGCCUCUCCAGCCAGCCACCUGAAAACGUCAUUCACAAAGGAGUUCACGAUGCUCAUGGCCUUGGAAGAGAUGCCAAUGUCAGGGUGCACCUGCUUCAGCACCUUGUAGAUACACACCGAAGAUCUGGUUGUUAAGCAUCUGCCUGCAUACCAGUGAGUGAAAGGAAGAGGAGAAGCAAAAGAUGGGUAAGGUUUAGAAUCUAAGACUAGAAGAAUAACAUUGUUGUUUGUUCAUCUAUUCC
rnacentral:lncRNA from 1 species